GUGAACAAGCCCAGCAGUGAAACGUACGUCGGGACUAUUGACGUCAUCAAAGGACGUCGUGCGGCCACGCCCCCCCUUUUGGCUCGGGCAGCCGCAGCACCUCAGCGGGGACGGCGCGCGGCAGAAGUGAAUGAGGGAAGCUGGGAGCCGGCCGGAGUAUUGGAGGAGACUGAUACACGCCGGCAUCCAAAGCAGCUUGGAGCGGCGUUUGAUAAACCAGAUCAUCUCUAUCUAAAGAAGCCAAAUAUGCAGCUGCUUUCUAUAGGAAGUGUUCUAGGGCCACUGGGUACCUGCUAUGUGAAGUGGUGAGGACUGCAGCUGAAUCCUGGCAGUGUCAUGGAGAGAGAGGCAGUGUGCAGUUCAGGGUGGCAGCACUGUGGCCGCGCAGCCUGCAUGUAAGCUGACAGACUACCACUUUUUUAUUGAUAUGUGUAAACAUUGCUGCCAUCACAAAUUGUAGGGCCCAUGAGUGUCAAAAUACUCUGCCCUCCCCCCUCAAUUACUGAAGAUAUAUAUAAACACAAAACGCAUUAUGCAAGCACAUUUUGAUACCUUGCAGGCUAUUCACAGCACAAUAAAACCACAAUUUAUGAAUAA